rnacentral:siRNA from 1 species
CUGAUGCUGAUUGGGGUACA